UACGGGGGGAGCAAGCGUUGUUCGGAUUUACUGGGCGUAAAGGGCGCGUAGGCGGCCACCGCAAGUCGGUUGUGAAAUCUCUGGGCUUAACCCAGAAAGGUCAACCGAUACUGCGGGGCUAGAGUGCAGAAGGGGCAACUGGAAUUCUCGGUGUAGCGGUGAAAUGCGUAGAUAUCGAGAGGAACACCUGCGGCGAAGGCGGGUUGCUGGGCUGACACUGACGCUGAAGCGCGAAAGCUAGGGGGGCGAACGGG
rnacentral:rRNA from 1 species